rnacentral:rRNA from 1 species
UACGGAGGGGGCAAGCGUUGUUCGGAAUUACUGGACGUAAAGGGCGCGUAGGCGGCCUGCUGCGUCGGGUGUGAAAGCCCCGGGCUCAACCUGGGAGGUGCACUUGAUACGGGCGGGCUGGAAUCCGGGAGAGGAUGGUGGAAUUCCCAGUGUAGAGGUGAAAUUCGUAGAUAUUGGGAAGAACACCGAUGGCGAAGGCAGCCAUCUGGACCGGUAUUGACGCUGAGGCGCGAAAGCGUGGGGAGCAAACAGG